rnacentral:rRNA from 1 species
AUUGAACGCUGGCGGCAUGCCUUACACAUGCAAGUCGAACGGCAGCACGGGAGCAAUCCUGGUGGCGAGUGGCGAACGGGUGAGUAAAGUAUCGGAACGUGCACAGUCGUGGGGGAGAACGUAGCGAAAGUUACGCAAAUAACGCAUACGAUCUAUGGAGGAACGCGGGGGAUCGCAAGACCUAGCCCGAAUGGAGCGGCCGAUAUCAGAGUGGGGUGUUGGUGGGGUAAAGGCUCACCAAGCCGACGAUCGGUAGCUGGUCUGAUAGUGCUACCAGCCACACUGGAACUGAGACACGGCCCAGACUCCUACGGGGGGCAGCAGUGGGGAAUUUUGGACAAUGGGCGGAAGCCCGAUCCAGCCAUGCCGCGAGCAGGAUGAAGGCCUUCGGGUUGUAAACUGCUUUUGUACGGAACGAAAAGGUUUGGCCUAAUAAGCUGAGCUCAUGACGGUACCGUAAGAAUAAGCACCGGCUAACUACGUUCCAGCAGCCGCCGUAA